rnacentral:rRNA from 1 species
GACGGAGGAGGCAAGCGUUUUCCGGAAUUAUUGGGCGUAAAGCGUCCGCAGGUGGCGAUUCAAGUCUGCUGUCAAAGGUCGGGGCUUAACCGCGGGAAGGCAGUGGAAACUGAAUAGCUAGAGUGCGGUAGGGGCAGAGGGAAUUCCCGGUGUAGCGGUGAAAUGCGUAGAGAUCGGGAAGAACACCAGUGGCGAAAGCGCGCUGCUGGGCCUGCACUGACACUGAGGGACGAAAGCUAGGGGAGCGAAAGGG